rnacentral:rRNA from 1 species
AUUGAACGCUGGCGGCAGGCCUAACACAUGCAAGUCGAGCGAGCGGCGGACGGGUGAGUAAUGUCUGGGGAACUGCCUCAUGUGGGGGGGUAACUCCUGGAAACGGUAGCUAAUACCGCAUACCAUCGGAUGUGCCCAGAUGGGAUUAGCGUGUUGGUGGGGUAACGGCUCACCAAGGCGACGAUCCCUAGCUGGUCUGAGAGGAUGACCAGCCACACUGGAACUGAGACACGGUCCAGACUCCUACGGGAGGCAGCAGUGGGGAAUAUUGCACAAUGGGCGCAAGCCUGAUGCAGCCAUGCCGCGUGUGUGAAGAAGGCCUUCGGGUUGUAAAGCACUUUCAGCGGGGAGGCGUUACCCGCAGAAGAAGCACCGGCUAACUCCGUGCCAGCAGCCGCGGUAAUAC